GUGGCGGAGGAAAACCGUGGUUACAUCAAGACACCUGGGGGAUACAAAUAAAUCAAAAGGCCCAAAAUCCAGGCAUAAAAAACUAAUACUUCCGAAGACCAGACAAAAUAUCCAAAAUUACAAACUUAUCAAACUUAAUAUGCAACCUGUUUUAAUAUUAUGGUUGUUGCGAUGACAUUCUUGUAGGGCAUAAGCUAAGUAUCGGAUGCAUACUUGCUGUGUCGGUUGUAAUGGAGUCUAGAAGCUUUCAGCCUCUUGUUGUUUAUGCUAUGGAUGGUGAGUAGAACAUAUCAACCAGUAUUAUGGGCUAUAUGUUCCAUUUUUAAGAUGCUUUGGAUGAGGAAGAAGAUCCGUGGACCUUCUGGAUGUUUGCCCAGAAAUUCUGGCUACCUGGUUUUUUAUUUCUUACUGUGUUGACAAACUUGGAUCAUCCUAUUGCACUCAUUGCAAUCAAAAUUAUUUUGUUACUCCUAAGCACAAAUCCUUGUCCUCUCUCAGUCUAUGUUUUUGUUGGUCAGGUAAGUAUUCCAUUUCACCUUGUUGUACUCAUGACUUAAGAGAGGGUCCAAUAAAAAAGCUUUCUAAACUCUUGUAUAGAACUCACGAACUAGGGUAUCAAGAGGCAAUCCAUCCCCUAGUGUUUGACUAGUGAGCUGAAGAAAUACGUGGAUUCUCGACAGAUGAAUAAAUUUUUUAAUUUUGUUGAACAUAAUGGGAACAAUCAAUUUUCAUCAAUAUGCGGUUAUCUCAUAGGAUAUAUAUUUUCAUUAUUGUUGAUAAUUUCUUGUGUAAAAUCCUUGCUAUUAUGAUUUUGUCCUCCCUGGUAUCGUCUUGACUAUUUCAGUGGCUGAUAUGAUUCUACAUACUUGGAGUAGAUCAAUGGUCUAUUAAAUUGGGGUAGCUGCUUUGAAUUUAAGUGGAAACCAAGGCUUUGUUGAGUGAGUUAUGUCAUCAAUCUAUGCGCAAAGAGCCUCACUUGUACAGAAAAAAGUUUACUUGGGCUUGCAAGUACACAUGCUUAUUGAGGGAAGUUGGUUCUACCAAUACUUAUGUCAAAGGGCAUCACUCCACCCAUUGGAUGCCCAUUCCAUGAUUUUAGAAACUUGUUAAAAAUUAGUUUCCCCUCCCCACGAUUUUUAACUUUUUAUUUAUUUUUUAUUUUUGUAUUUCUCCCAUCUUAUAAUUCCUGGUUCUGCUGCCCUUGCUUAUAAGGAAAGAAUGGAGAAGAAACAGGAUAAAGACUAGAACAUGAUGUGUUUUCCUAAUUCUCUCUUUCAAACGCUUAUCAGGCUGCAGUUUCUCAUAGCCACGUGUAUUUCAUAGCUAAAUUUGGACUGCCUAUAUAUCAUCUGUGACAAUUGAUCCAUGAUCUGAUUAUGUGCCUAUGUUUCCAUGGAAAUUAUUCAAUGACUUCUUCGAA